ACAGCUCAAAUUUGAAAUCUGGCCUUCGGGUCCGAGUUGUAAUUUGCAGAGGAUGCUUUGGGCGCGGCGCCUUCCGAGUUCCUUGGAACAGGACGCCUUAGAGGGUGAGAGCCCCGUACGGUUGGACGCUAAGCCUAUGUAAAGCUCCUUCGACGAGUCGAGUAGUUUGGGAAUGCUGCUCUAAAUGGGAGGUAAAUUUCUUCUAAAGCUAAAUACCGGCCAGAGACCGAUAGCGCACAAGUAGAGUGAUCGAAAGAUGAAAAGUACUUUGAAAAGAGGGUUAAAUAGCACGUGAAAUUGUUGAAAGGGAAGCGUUUGUGACCAGACCUUGGCCCGGCGGAUCAUCUGGUGUUCUUCACCGGUGCACUUCGCUUGGCUCAGGCCAGCAUCGAUUUCCGCAGGGGGACAAAGGCCAUGGGAACGUAGCUCUCUUCGGGGAGUGUUAUAGCCCUAGGCGUAAUGCCCUUGCGGGGAUCGAGGUUCGCGCUCCGGCAAGGAUGCUGGCAUAAUGGUCAUCAACGACCCGUCUUGAAACACGGACCAAGGAGUCGAACAUUUAUGCGAGUGUUUGGGUGUUAAACCCUCACGCGGAAUGAAAGUGAACGGAGGUGAGAGCCCUCGGGUGCAUCAUCGACCGAUCCUGAUGUUCUCGGAUGGAUUUGAGUAAGAGCAUAGCUGUUCGGACCCGAAAAGAUGGUGAACUAUGCGUGGAUAGGGUGAAGCCAGAGGAAACUCUGGUGGAGGCUCGCAGCGGUUCUGACGUGCAAAUCGAUCGUCAAAUCUGCGCAUGGGGGCGAAAGACUUAUCGAACCAUCUAGUAGCUGGUUACCGCCGAAGUUUCCCUCAGGAUAGCAGUGUUGUAUUCAGUUUUAUGAGGUAAAGCGAAUGAUUAGGGACUCGGGGGCGCUAUAUUGCCUUCAUCCAUUCUCAAACUUUAAAUAUGUAAGAAGCCCUUGUUACUUGACUGAACGUGGGCAUUCGAAUGUAUCAACACUAGUGGGCCAUUUUGGUAAGCAGAACUGGCGAUGCGGGAUGAACCGAACGCGAGGUUAAGGUGCCAGAGUAGACGCUCAUCAGACACCACAAAAGGUGUUAGUACAUCUUGACAGCAGGACGGUGGCCAUGGAAGUCGGAAUCCGCUAAGGACUGUGUAACAACUCACCUGCCGAAUGUACUAGCCCUGAAAAUGGAUGGCGCUCAAGCGUCUCACCCAUACCUCGCCCUUAGGGUAGAAACGAGGCCCUAAGGAGUA
rnacentral:rRNA from 1 species